UGAAAUAUUCUAAGAACCAUUGCCUCACCGAAUUUUGGACUGUUAUUUUUUCUGAAGAAGAAUUGGAAUGGAUUACCAAGAUAACUAACCAUCUUUCUUCAGAAUUGUUUAUUCGUCUUCGUGAAGCAUGAAGAUUAGGAAUUUUUCAAGAAAUUAUCACAGGAAUUGAAAAGUCAAAGCGCGCCAUCAACCCAUGCCAGCAGCAGUGUUGGGGACAGAUACUUUUAAAAAUAUCUAGAUACAGAUUGUUUUCGAUUUUUUCGAAAUGUAUACAUAAAUAUAGAUACAAGAAAACAUAUACUUUUUGAAGCUUUGGCGAAUAAAAUAACUGAAAACAUG